rnacentral:rRNA from 1 species
GUAAGGAAUAUUGGUCAAUGGGCGGAAGCCUGAACCAGCCAUGCCGCGUGCAGGACGACGGCCCUACGGGUUGUAAACUGCUUUUGCCCGGGAAUAACCCCCCGCUCUUGAGCGGGGCUGAACGUACCGGGAGAAUAAGGAUCGGCUAACUCCGUGCCAGCAGCCGCGGUAAUACGGAGGAUCCGAGCGUUAUCCGGAUUUAUUGGGUUUAAAGGGUGCGUAGGCGGCCCGUUAAGUCCGGGGUGAAAUACGGCAGCUCAGCUGUCGCAGUGCCCUUGAUACUGACGGGCUUGAAUAUCGGUGAAGGCGGCGGAAUGAGACAAGUAGCGGUGAAAUGCAUAGAUAUGUCUCAGAACCCCGAUUGCGAAGGCAGCUGCCUAACCGGCGAUUGACGCUGAUGCACGAAAGCGUGGGGAUCGAACAGGAUUAGAAACCCCAGUAGUCC